GGUGGGGUGGCCGAGUGGUUGAAGGCGACAGUCUUGAAAACUGUUAUACCGCUCAAACGGUAUCGUGGGUUCGAAUCCCACCCCCACCGCCA
rnacentral:tRNA from 1 species